rnacentral:rRNA from 1 species
GGAAUAUUGCACAAUGGGGGAAACCCUGAUGCAGCGACGCCGCGUGAGUGAAGAAGCGCCUCGGCGCGUAAAGCUCUGUCAGCAGGAACGACGAUGACGGUACCUGAAGAAGAAGCCCCGGCUAACUACGUGCCAGCAGCCGCGGUAAUACGUAGGGGGCAAGCGUUAUCCGGAAUGACUGGGCGUAAAGGGUGCGUAGGUGGUUUGACAAGUUAGUAGCGCAACUCCGGAGCUCAACUUCGGAACUACUACUAAAACUGUUGAACUUGAGUGCAGGAGGGGCAAUCGGAAUUCCUAGUGUAGCGGUGGAAUGCGUAGAUAUUAGGAGGAACACCAGUGGCGAAGGCGGAUUGCUAGACUGUAACUGACACUGAGGCACGAAAGCGUGGGGAGCAAACAG